rnacentral:rRNA from 1 species
GAGGUUGGCCGGCCACACUGGAAACUGAGACACGGUCCAGACUCCUACGGGAGGCAGCAGUGGGGAAUCUUGCACAAUGGACGAAAGUCUGAUGCAGCAACGCCGCGUGGGGGAUGAAGCUUUUCGGAGUGUAAACCCCUUUCGACCCGGAAGAAUGCCCGCAAGGGUUUGACGGUACGGGUAUAAGAAGCCCCGGCUAACUACGUGCCAGCAGCCGCGGUAAUACGUAGGGGGCCAGCGUUGCUCGGAAUUACUGGGCGUAAAGGGUCUGUAGGCGGUGCGGCAAGUCGAUAGUGAAAUCCCUAGGCUUAACCUAGGGGCUGCUAGCGAAAUGCGUGCUAAGUGUGAGAGAGGCGAGUGGAAUUACGGGUGUACGGUGAAAUGCGUAAUAUCCGUAGGAACAUUCCGAGGGAAAGCGGUUCGUGGAUCAAUGACGCUGGAGAGACGAAAGCUAGGGGAGCAAACAGGAUAGAUACCCUGGGUAAGUCCUAAGCCUAAACCAUC